AGUAACUACGCUGCGUGCUGAAGCCAGACCUUGAGGGGGGUUUAUGACCUUGUUAUAUGCGAGGCACACAUAUUGAAGUCAGUUUUCAUUCUUUCGGAUCUCAAAAGAUGUUUUUGUUAGUUGUCGAUCACCCUCGUGUCCACGUCGUGCCAGAUUAAGUUUAAGAUCGAACCAGACUUUACGCACCAAUCCGACUGCGGUGUCAGGGAACAGUUUCCCGCAGAUGCUUCAAAUCCAGGUGGACUGCUGUCUUCACUCAGCAAGUUGGCAUUGUACCAGUUGUCUGUUUUCAUUCCCAAAUAUAUUAAAGGAAAAACAAACAAAAUGGCAGUUUGUCAUGGAAUUUAGAAUGUAGUGGUGCGUAGUGGUUUAUUCAGUGUGAAGCGACUCAUUAGUACGCAAGCCAUGGUAUACGCUAUAUAGCUGCACGGUCAUGUGAUGCUGUUUAACCAAUCAGAGGUUGUUAUUUUUCCAAGCCAUGUUAUAACUGUAUAAAUGAAAAAUAAACCCUGCUUUACUUUUUCAAA